rnacentral:rRNA from 1 species
AGAGUUUGAUCAUGGCUCAGGACGAACGCUGGCGGCGUGCUUAACACAUGCAAGUCGAGCGGUAAGGCCUCUUCGGGGGUACACGAGCGGCGAACGGGUGAGUAACACGUGAGUAAUCUGCCCUUCACUUCGGGAUAACUCCGGGAAACCGGGGCUAAUACUGGAUAUGACCACUUCGCGCAUGUGAUGGUGGUGGAAAGUUUCGGCGGUGGGGGAUGAGCUCGCGGCCUAUCAGCUUGUUGGUGAGGUGAUGGCUCACCAAGGCUUCGACGGGUAGCCGGCCUGAGAGGGUGAUCGGCCACACUGGGACUGAGACACGGCCCAGACUCCUACGGGAGGCAGCAGUAGGGAAUAUUGGACAAUGGGCGAAAGCCUGAUCCAGCAACGCCGCGUGAGGGAUGACGGCCUUCGGGUUGUAAACCUCUUUCGCCCAUGACGAAGCGUAAGUGACGGUAGUGGGAGAAGAAGCACCGGCCAACUACGUGCCAGCAGCCGCGGUAAUACGUAGGGUGCGAGCGUUGUCCGGAAUUAUUGGGCGUAAAGGGCUCGUAGGCGGUUCGUCGCGUCGGGAGUGAAAUCUCAGGGCUUAACCCUGAGUCUGCUUCUGAUACGGGCGGACUAGAGGUAGGUAGGGGAGAACGGAAUUCCUGGUGUAGCGGUGGAAUGCGCAGAUAUCAGGAGGAACACCGAUGGCGAAGGCAGUUCUCUGGGCCUUACCUGACGCUGAGGAGCGAAAGCGUGGGGAGCGAACAGGAUUAGAUACCCCCGUAGUCC